rnacentral:rRNA from 1 species
GACGAACGCUGGCGGCGUGCUUAACACAUGCAAGUCGAACGGAAAGGCCCUGCUUUUGUGGGGUGCUCGAGUGGCGAACGGGUGAGUAACACGUGAGUAACCUGCCCUUGACUUUGGGAUAACUUCAGGAAACUGGGGCUAAUACCGGAUAGGAGCUCCUGCUGCAUGGUGGGGGUUGGAAAGUUUCGGCGGUUGGGGAUGGACUCGCGGCUUAUCAGCUUGUUGGUGGGGUAGUGGCUUACCAAGGCUUUGACGGGUAGCCGGCCUGAGAGGGUGACCGGCCACAUUGGGACUGAGAUACGGCCCAGACUCCUACGGGAGGCAGCAGUGGGGAAUAUUGCACAAUGGGCGGAAGCCUGAUGCAGCAACGCCGCGUGCGGGAUGACGGCCUUCGGGUUGUAAACCGCUUUCGCCUGUGACGAAGCGUGAGUGACGGUAAUGGGUAAAGAAGCACCGGCUAACUACGUGCCGGCAGCCGCGGUGAUACGUAGGGUGCGAGCGCUGUCCGGAUUUAUUGGGCGUAAAGGGCUCGUAGGUGGUUGAUCGCGUCGGAAGUGUAAUCUUGGGGCUUAACCCUGAGCGUGCUUUCGAUACGGGUUGACUUGAGGAAGGUAGGGGAGAAUGGAAUUCCUGGUGGAGCGGUGGAAUGCGCAGAUAUCAGGAGGAACACCAGUGGCGAAGGCGGUUCUCUGGGCCUUUCCUGACGCUGAGGAGCGAAAGCGUGGGGAGCGAACAGGCUUAGAUACCCUGGUAGUCCACGCUGUAAACGGUGGGUACUAGGUGUGGGGUCCAUUCCACGGGUUCCGUGCCGUAGCUAACGCUUUAAGUACCCCGCCUGGGGAGUACGGCCGCAAGGCUAAAACUCAAAGGAAUUGACGGGGCCCCGCACAAGCGGCGGAGCAUGCGGAUUAAUUCGAUGCAACGCGUAGAACCUUACCUGGGUUUGACAUGGAUCGGGAGUGCUCAGAGAUGGGUGUGCCUCUUUUGGGGUCGGUUCACAGGUGGUGCAUGGCUGUCGUCAGCUCGUGUCGUGAGAUGUUGGGUUAAGUCCCGCAACGAGCGCAACCCUUGUUCACUGUUGCCAGCACGUUAUGGUGGGGACUCAGUGGAGACCGCCGGGGUCAACUCGGAGGAAGGUGGGGAUGACGUCAAGUCAUCAUGCCCCUUAUGUCCAGGGCUUCACGCAUGCUACAAUGGCUGGUACAGAGAGUGGCGAGCCUGUGAGGGUGAGCGAAUCUCGGAAAGCCGGUCUCAGUUCGGAUUGGGGUCUGCAACUCGACCUCAUGAAGUCGGAGUCGCUAGUAAUCGCAGAUCAGCAACGCUGCGGUGAAUACGUUCCCGGGGC